rnacentral:lncRNA from 1 species
AAAGAUUCAUCAGAAUAAGAUUUUUAUCUUAGGUGAAAGAUUCAACAGACUAAGAUUUCUUUAUCUUAGGUGAAAGAUUCAACAGACUAAGAUUUCUUAAUCUUAGGUGAAAGAUUCAACAGACUAAGAUUUCUUUAUCUUAGGUGAAAAAUUCAACAGACUAAGAUUUUUAUCUUUUAACCAUUUUCCUUCGAAAUUUGUUUUACCUACCCACUAACUUGAAUUAUCUUCCUUCAGAACUGCUUCCCUAAAAAC